AUUGAACGCUGGCGGCAGGCCUAACACAUGCAAGUCGAACGGUAACAGGAAGCAGCUUGCUGCUUUGCUGACGAGUGGCGGACGGGUGAGUAAUGUCUGGGAAACUGCCUGAUAGAGGGGGAUAACUACUGGAAACGGUAGCUAAUACCGCAUAACGUCGCAAGACCAAAGAGGGGGACCUUCGGGCCUCUUGCCAUCGGAUGUGCCCAGAUGGGAUUAGCUAGUAGGUGGGGUAACGUCUCACCUAGGCGACGAUCGCUAGCUGGUCUGAGAGGAUGACCAGCCACACUGGAACUGAGACACGGUCCAGACUCCUACGGGAGGCAGCAGUGGGGAAUAUUGCACAAUGGGCGCAAGCCUGAUGCAGCCAUGCCGCGUGUAUGAAGAAGGCCUUCGGGUUGUAAAGUACUUUCAGCGGGGAGGAAGGGAGUAAAGUUAAUACCUUUGCUCAUUGACGUUACCCGCAGAAGAAGCACCGGCUAACUCCGUG
rnacentral:rRNA from 1 species